rnacentral:rRNA from 1 species
UCAGGAUGAACGCUGGCGGCGUGCCUAACACAUGCAAGUCGAACGGGCUUCAUAAGGAAUAAGGCUUCGGCCGAAGGAAUUAUGAAGUUAGUGGCGGACGGGUGAGUAACGCGUGGAGAACCUGCCCUGUACAGGGGGAUAACACCUGGAAACAGGUGCUAAAACCGCAUAAGCGCACGGUACCGCAUGGUACAGUGUGAAAAACUCCGGUGGUACAGGAUGGCUCCGCGUUGGAUUAGCCAGUUGGCGGGGUAACGGCCCACCAAAGCGACGAUCCAUAGCCGGCCUGAGAGGGUGGACGGCCACAUUGGGACUGAGACACGGCCCAGACUCCUACGGGAGGCAGCAGUGGGGAAUAUUGCACAAUGGGGGGAACCCUGAUGCAGCGACGCCGCGUGAAGGAAGAAGUAUCUCGGUAUGUAAACUUCUAUCAGCAGGGAAGAAGAUGACGGUACCUGCACAAGAAGCCCCGGCUAACUACGUGCCAGCCGCCGC